rnacentral:lncRNA from 1 species
AUGACCUUGUGUCCUCACACCUCAGUUGUUGGCUUUGUGAGAGGAGAAGAUGUGACCCAAGAAUACUGUUCCCUGAGCUCUAUAGCUUCACGUGAAAAGAUGAGCUUGCCCAAAUAUUUUUCUCUGUGGAGUGCCAAAUGACUAUCUUCAAAGGGAUGACUUGACUUUUGGAAGGAGCCAUAUAUGCUUUGAUUUGAGACUUAAAUAAAAUGGGUGAUCUGUCUUAACGAUUCAGAAUUCAUUGUUAAAAAAGAGGUGAGGGCACUUGAUGGGAUGAGCACUGGGUGUUAUGCUAUAUGUUGGCAAAUUGAACUCCAAUAAAAAAUAUAUACAAAAAAAAAUUCAGUCUUUCCCUCAAAUGGGAGUUAUAAUCUAGGGAUCUUAUGGGAAUUUUACAUAAUCUAUACAAAUGUGAAUUAGAGGGAUCCCUGGGUGGCACAGCCGUUUGGCACCUGCCUUUGGCCCAGGGCGCGAUCCUGGAGACCCAGGAUUGAAUCCCACAUCGGGCUCCCGGUGCAUGGAGUCUGCUUCUCCCUCUGCCUGUGUCUCUGCCUCUCUCUCUCUCUCUGUGACUAUCAUAAAUAAAUAAAUAAAUAAAUAAAUAAAUAAAUAAAUAAAUAAAUAAAUAAAUAAAAAUAUGAAUUAGAAAAAAAAAUAAGCAUUUCUGAGAAAAGUGAUAUAUGUCUGUAUGUAAAAAUUCAAAACACACAUUGCCACAAGUAUGUAUCUGCAUGCCUUAGGCCAUAAGAGAUUUGUUGUUUAGGGAUAGAGCAUAGAUUUUUGAUAUAACAUCGAUGAGUUACUUGAAAGCUGUAACUUUUAACUAUUGUUUUUCUCUUUAAUUGAGAAAAAAAACAAAAGAAUUCUCAAAAAAAAAAAAAAAAGAAGUGAGAAAGGAUAUUUCUUUAAAUCCUGAACAAUGGAGCCAGCUGAAGGAACAGAUUUCUGACAUUGAUGAUGCCGUAAGAAAACUGUAAAAUUAGAGCCAUAUAAAACCUGUACUGUUCUAGUUGUUUUAAUCUGUCUUUUUACAUUGGCUUUUGUUUUCUAAACGUUGUUUUCUAAGCUAUUGUAUAUUUGGAUUACAGAACAACUUGUAAGAUGAAUGCGUUUUUUUAAUGUGCAUUAUUACAAGUGUUCUGAGUGAAGCUAAUUGUCAACUUGAUUAAGGAGGAUUGCUUUGUGCCUGCCACCUAGUGUAAAAUAAAAUCAAGUAAUACGAUCUUAAAAAAAAAAAAAAAGAGGUGAGAAAAAGUUACUUUGCUUUACUCAGUGUUGGGCUACCCUUUGCCUGAAGACAGAUAAUGCUCCACAAAAGGAAGAAGAUACUCUCAUUAUUGAGAGUCGUACUUAUUUUGUUUCCUGGAUACCCAGUUUCCCUCCUAAAAGCUGCUUUUUUUUAAAUCUUUUAAAAGGAUGGUUGAUAGAUAUUCUCUUGGGAGCACACUAUGACACCACUUUGACCCUUGCUUUUUUCCUCCUUAACAACACAUCUUAGAAGAGGAUUCCAUUCGAGUACUUUUGCAUCCUUUUUAUGGCUGCAUAGAGUCAGCUUGGCAGGGCAAGUUUACUCUUUCACUCUUCUUCAUAUCAUUCACUUUUCAAUGUAUUUAAAAUUGGGAAUAUGUUAAAUUCUGAUUGAGCUAUAAAGAAUUGAUGUCUUUGUGAUACUGUGUCUUUCUAGCCAAGUGCAUUAUGUAUCUUUCCACUUAUUCAACUCUUUUUAACCUCGAUGAGAAUUUCAGUUUUCUCUGUAGAUUUAUACAUUUCUUACAUUUGUUCCUACAUUUAUAAUGUCUUCUGUUAUUAUUUUAAGUGAAGUCUUUCUUUCCAUUAUCACUAC